UACGUAGGGCGCAAGCGUUGUCCGGAAUUAUUAGGCGUAAAGAGCUCGUAGGCGGUUUGUCGCGUCUGCUGUGAAAACUCGAGGCUCAACCUCGGGCUUGCAGUGGGUACGGGCAGACUAGAGUGCGGUAGGGGUGACUGGAAUUCCUGGUGUAGCGGUGGAAUGCGCAGAUAUCAGGAGGAACACCGGUGGCGAAGGCGGGUCUCUGGGCCGAUACUGACGCUGAGGAGCGAAAGCGUGGGGAGCGAACAGG
rnacentral:rRNA from 1 species